rnacentral:rRNA from 1 species
GUGAAACUGCGAAUGGCUCAUUAAAUCAGUUAUCGUUUAUUUGAUAAUACCUUACUACUUGGAUAACCGUGGUAAUUCUAGAGCUAAUACAUGCUGAAAAUCCCGACUUCGGAAGGGAUGUGUUUAUUAGAUAAAAAACCAAUGCCCUUCGGGGCUUUUUGGUGAUUCAUGAUAACUUUACGGAUCGCAUAGCCUUGCGCUGGCGACGGUUCAUUCAAAUUUCUGCCCUAUCAACUUUCGAUGGUAAGGUAUUGGCUUACCAUGGUUUCAACGGGUAACGGGGAAUUAGGGUUCGAUUCCGGAGAGGGAGCCUGAGAAACGGCUACCACAUCCAAGGAAGGCAGCAGGCGCGCAAAUUACCCAAUCCCGACACGGGGAGGUAGUGACAAUAAAUACUGAUACAGGGCUCUUUUGGGUCUUGUAAUUGGAAUGAGUACAAUUUAAACCUCUUAACGAGGAACAAUUGGAGGGCAAGUCUGGUGCCAGCAGCCGCGGUAAUUCCAGCUCCAAUAGCGUAUAUUAAAGUUGUUGCAGUUAAAAAGCUCGUAGUUGAAACUUGGGCCUGGCUGGCGGGUCCGCCUCACCGCGUGCACUCGUCCGGCCGGGCCUUCCUUCUGAAGAACCUCAUGCCCUUCACUGGGCGUGCUGGGGAAUCAGGACUUUUACUUUGAAAAAAUUAGAGUGUUCAAAGCAGGCCUUUGCUCGAAUACGUUAGCAUGGAAUAAUAAAAUAGGGCGUGCGUUUCUAUUUUGUUGGUUUCUAGAGACGCCGCAAUGAUUAACAGGAACAGUCGGGGGCAUCAGUAUUCAGUUGUCAGAGGUGAAAUUCUUGGAUUUACUGAAGACUAACUACUGCGAAAGCAUUUGCCAAGGAUGUUUUCAUUAAUCAGUGAACGAAAGUUAGGGGAUCGAAGACGAUCAGAUACCGUCGUAGUCUUAACCGUAAACUAUGCCGACUAGGGAUCGGGCGAUGUUCUUUUUCUGACUCGCUCGGCACCUUAC